GACGGGCUGCCCGGUGCGUGAUGGCGUUACUAUUCUCUGGGGCCUAUAAGAUCUUCUACGGGAGCUGUCUCUGUUUCGGACCGUGGUCUGCGACACGCGGCGCCCACCUACAACAGUAGGGACCCGAGAUCUUGAACUCCCACGGCCUAUGGUGGCUCGUCG
rnacentral:other from 1 species